UACAGAGGGGGCAAGUGUUGUUCGGAAUUACUGGGCGUAAAGCGCACGUAGGCGGCUUUCUAAGUCAGGGGUGAAAUCCUGGAGCUCAACUCCAGAACUGCCUUUGAUACUGGAAGGCUUGAGUCCGGGAGAGGUGAGUGGAACUGCGAGUGUAGAGGUGAAAUUCGUAGAUAUUCGCAAGAACACCAGUGGCGAAGGCGGCUCACUGGCCCGGUACUGACGCUGAGGUGCGAAAGCGUGGGGAGCAAACAGG
rnacentral:rRNA from 1 species